rnacentral:rRNA from 1 species
GAUGAACGCUGGCGGCGUGCUUAACACAUGCAAGUCGAACGAUGAAGCCCAGCUUGCUGGGUGGAUUAGUGGCGAACGGGUGAGUAACACGUGAGUAACCUGCCCUUGACUCUGGGAUAAGCCCGGGAAACUGGGUCUAAUACCGGAUAGGAGCGCCUGUCGCAUGACGGGUGCUGGAAAGAUUUUUCGGUCAUGGAUGGACUCGCGGCCUAUCAGCUUGUUGGUGAGGUAAUGGCUCACCAAGGCGACGACGGGUAGCCGGCCUGAGAGGGUGACCGGCCACACUGGGACUGAGACACGGCCCAGACUCCUACGGGAGGCAGCAGUGGGGAAUAUUGCACAAUGGGCGGAAGCCUGAUGCAGCGACGCCGCGUGAGGGAUGACGGCCUUUCGGGUUGUAAACCUUCUUUCAGCAGGGAAGAAAGCGAAAAUGACGGACCUG